ensembl:lncRNA
CCUCCCUUUGGAGUUUUCUACUGCAAGCCUAGAACACAGAGGACGGUGGUCUUGAUUAUGAUUCCCCUGGGGUGACUGCCUUUAUCAAUCAUGUUGUUGCCUGAAGAUGCACAUAGAGAUGCUCCUCAGUACAGCAGCAUGUCCUGAAGGAGCGUCCUGGUAAUUUCUAGGUGCCAAAUAUUUAAGUUCAGAUCUGCAAGUUUUAAACUCUGAAUGGAAGAUUAAUGUGUCAUAUACGAAUACCACCUUAUAUAAUAAUUUUCAUUGUUUGAAGAAUUUUUAUAAAUAUUAAGAACAUAACCCAUAGUAGUAUCUCUGUGGAUAUUGCCCUUCUGUAUGCUGAGAAGAGAUGUAUGGGAGUUCCUUAUUAGAGGCUUUCACCCAAAGAAUGGAAAAUUGAAGUAAAAAGAGACAGAUGGAUCAAGGUGGAACACUGCUUAUUUCCAUGUAAGAUGAAAUGGACUGGCCAAGGAAGGGUAAAGGGGGAGGAAACUGAAGAGGACAUGAGAUAAAGAGAUGAGGGUUUGCAGCAUGGUAGUGGCAUUGGAGUACAACAGGUCAAUCUAUCUACAUCAAGCCAAUGAAAGGGAAAAGCAGACAGAAUAAACUGAUUUUCAUUUCUUAUGGUGUGUUAUGGCAGGAAUUCUACAAAAACAGACAUUGUGCUUUCGUGGCUUGCAGUUAAAUGAAAAGACAACCCAGUGUUUCUGAGAAAAUGAGCCAUGUUCUAGAGUUGGAUUUUUGCCUACAUCUUUUUGCCUUUUGUAGUGAAGGAGCUGUGUGUCACCUGCUUCUGUCCCAUUAGGCCCUGUCCCUCCUGACUACUAUUAUGAUCAGAACAGCCAUUCUCAAAGUUUCCCUCUCAGAGGCUCAAAAUGCACAUUUGGGCUGUGAUUCACCUGCGGCAGUAGAAUAUCCCAAGGGCUGGUGAUCCCACUUCUGAAUGCAACCUUUCUUACAGCAUGUGGACAGUAAUUGAAGAUCUGCUGAUGUACAACAUGCACAAGAGCUGGACUGAUGUACUAGAAGCUGGAACUGAAGCAAGUGUAGAAGACUCUUCUUCUCCUUCGAAUUCUUUUGGAAAGAACCCAACAUUUGACUGUCUCCUUUUAUGGAGGUAUGAUGAGCUUACGGAGCUGUGAGCACUGAACGUGGGAACUUGGACUGCUAUUCUGAGCACAUUUCAGAAAACUCUGUUGCGUCCCAUUACGUGCCUGUCUUUGAUCUCAAAUUGAAAAUCUCGGAGCCUCUUCCUCCAAUCCAAAAGCAAAUAAAUAGUGAAAGAAAGAAACCUCUCUCCUCUCAGCACGUAGGGCCUCCACGGCUGAAAAAUGAAGGUGACAGUAAUAGCUCUGAUGAACCUGUUUGGACAACAGACAGCAACAAAUACCUGUCUCUGUGGAGGAGUUUAAGAGCACUGCAGAGAUCCUCAGACAGUGCAGAGCCUCUUGGCUUACACAGGCCACUGUCUUUCUCUCCAAACAAUACCAGCCAAGCUUCCUCUGUACCUACAACUGAAGAGCUGCGGGAACAGGACAGUAACUAAUACAGCUUUCAAAUUUGAAUCUCCUGGUCUUAUUAAAAA